AGCGAACGCUGGCGGCAGGCCUAACACAUGCAAGUCGAACGAACUCUUCGGAGUUAGUGGCGGACGGGUGGGUAACACGUGGGAACGUGCCUUUUGGUUCGGAAUAACUCAGGGAAACUUGUGCUAAUACCGAAUGUGCCCUUCGGGGGAAAGAUUUAUCGCCAUUAGAGCGGCCCGCGUCUGAUUAGCUAGUUGGUGAGGUAACGGCUCACCAAGGCGACGAUCAGUAGCUGGUCUGAGAGGAUGACCAGCCACACUGGGACUGAGACACGGCCCAGACUCCUACGGGAGGCAGCAGUGGGGAAUCUUGCGCAAUGGGCGAAAGCCUGACGCAGCCAUGCCGCGUGAAUGAUGAAGGUCUUAGGAUUGUAAAAUUCUUUCACCGGGGACGACAAUGACGGUACCCGGAGAAGAAGCCCCGGCUAACUUCGUG
rnacentral:rRNA from 1 species